UGGGGAAUCUUCCGCAAUGGGCGCAAGCCUGACGGAGCAACGCCGCGUGAGUGAAGAAGGGUUUCGACUCGUAAAGCUCUGUUGUCGGGGACGAACGUGGAGACUAUGAAUAAUGGUUUUCAAUGACGGUACCUGACGAGGAAGCCACGGCUAACUACGUGCCAGCAGCCGCGGUAAUACGUAGGUGGCGAGCGUUGUCCGGAAUUAUUGGGCGUAAAGGGAGCGCAGGCGGGAGAUCAAGUCUAUCUUAAAAGUGCGGGGCUCAACCCCGUGAGGGGAUGGAAACUGGUCUUCUUGAGUGCAGGAGAGGAAAGCGGAAUUCCUAGUGUAGCGGUGAAAUGCGUAGAUAUUAGGAGGAACACCAGUGGCGAAGGCGGCUUUCUGGACUGUAACUGACGCUGAGGCUCGAAAGCGUGGGGAGCGAACAGGAUUAGAUACCCUGGUAGU
rnacentral:rRNA from 1 species